CGUGGCGCGGGGGCUGCCUGGAGCCAUGGAGCUGAUCCCGCCGGUGGACCUGGGCACCUGGAGGGCCUCUCCAGGAGAAGUGACUCAGGCUGUGAAGGUGGCCAUCGAUGCGGGCUACCGACGCUUCGACUGCGUACUUAUACCAGAACGAGAGUGACAUAGGAGAGGGAUCCAGUGCCAGCUCCUCAAGGGCGUUGUGAGACAAGAGGACCUGCUCGUUGUCAGCAAGCCAGGGCUUCUCUCCUUCCAUUCCAGGAGUCAGAGCACACAGCUACUCUCCAGAGAAUCAGUGCCCAGGACGUUGGGGCUGGGGGACCUGCUGCAGCAAGGACCUCGCAGUGGGGGCUCGCACCUGCGCAGUGAGUGCAGCACCCCUCCUUGGUGGCUCCAGCUGGCGGUGGCCUGCGCCCGGCUGUCGUGGUGGCUGCAGCAGGGUGCAGAAGCCUGGCUCCCGGGACGGCCCCACCCCCCCCCCAACUCGGGCGUCCAGCGGAACGGCUGGGGGCUCCGGACCCCGCGACCCGGCCACCCCCUCGCCGACUCUGCGGACCCACCAUGCCCUCACCUCAGCAUGCCACGGAAGAGAAGCUCAGGAUCGUCCAAGUUCAGGGUGUUCGAGUUGCUUGGAGAGGUUUGGAAAGCAAAGAAUAAAUGACACAGCAAUGCAUAGUGUGUUCAUCUCCUCCCCGGUGCAAGUGUCCAGAGCUCCUGUCCCGCACUCAUGUGGUGCACGGUCUACAAGGACGGCUGGGCAGGCAGAGCAGAGCAGCUCGGUGCUACAGCCCAGUGCCCUGGCUCGGAGGCACAGCUGAGCUUUACAGCUCAGUGUGGCAGCUCUGGGUCGCACCUCACAUAAUUUGAAGACUUGAGAAACCAAAGGUCACUCAAAGAGAUGCAGAAAAACCUUCAUUACUCCAGUGGGUUUUCAGAGUUUUGCCAGAAGUGAAAGCCUCCUUAUAUAGGGAUCUACAGGGUAGGCGGCCAUGCUCACUGAAGCAGAGGGUGGGG
rnacentral:lncRNA from 1 species